rnacentral:tRNA from 1 species
GGAAAUAUGUUUAAUCAAAUAUUAGCUGCUAACUAAUUAUUUUAGCGGUUAGAUCCCGUUAAUAUUUCUA